rnacentral:rRNA from 1 species
AUUGAACGCUGGCGGCAGGCCUAACACAUGCAAGUCGAGCGGAUGAGGAAAGCUUGCUUUUCGAUUCAGCGGCGGACGGGUGAGUAAUGCAUAGGAAUCUGCCUGUUAGUGGGGGAUAACUCGGGGAAACUCGGGCUAAUACCGCAUACGUCCUACGGGAGAAAGUGGGGGAUCGUCGGACCUCACGCUAACAGAAGGGCCUAGGUGGGAUUAGCUAGUAGGUGAGGUAAUGGCUCACCUAGGCGACGAUCCGUAACUGGUCUGAGAGGAUGAUCAGUCACACUGGAACUGAGACACGGUCCAGACUCCUACGGGAGGCAGCAGUGGGGAAUAUUGGACAAUGGGCGAAAGCCUGAUCCAGCCAUGCCGCGUGUGUGAAGAAGGUCUUCGGAUUGUAAAGCACUUUAAGUUGGGAGGAAGGGUAUUCACCUAAUACGUGGGUACUUUGACGUUACCAACAGAAUAAGCACCGGCUAACUCUGUGCCAGCAGCCGCCGUAACAC